CGGCGAUCUUCAGCCGGAGCAUCCGAGCGGCUCUCUUCAGAUCUUCGGCACCGGAGCAUCCGAGAUCCAUGGGUAACUUCAGAUUCCAUCAGUACCAGGUUGUCGGACGUGCCCUCCCGACCCCGACGGAUGAGCACCCGAAGAUCUUCCGGAUGAAGCUGUGGGCGACGAAUGAAGUCAGGGCAAAAUCCAAGUUCUGGUACUUCCUGCGUAAAUUGAAGAAGGUGAAGAAGAGCAAUGGGCAAGUUCUUGCCAUUAAUGAGAUUUUUGAGAAGUAUCCGACCAAGAUCAAGAACUAUGGCAUCUGGCUCCGGUACCAGAGCAGGACUGGCUACCACAACAUGUACAAGGAGUACAGGGACACCAC
rnacentral:misc_RNA from 1 species